rnacentral:lncRNA from 1 species
AUGAACAUCUCCAAAUUUCUGGAUGGCAAACCUUUCACUCCGCUUCAAAUCCACUUAAGGUCUCAAAGAAUUUGGGUCACCCGGAAAAAACGCUUACAAAAUUCACCAUGCCAGCGAGCGGCACUCGGCUGCACCACCACCAAAGGAAAACGCUUUUUGGGGCUCACGCCUGACGCCGCAGAAACCAGCUCCUGGGAACGACCAGAGCUCGCUGUAUUUCCCCCGGUCUCCCCAGGCAGCUUUUCCCUCGAGCAGAGGCAACCAAAUGCCCCAAACAGCCAGCACGGGCCCUGCUGCAGCUCGCGGAGGUGCAGAUGCAAUGCCAGGCACCGCCGUGUCACAGAGUCACAGAACUGUAGGGGCUGGAAGGGACCUCAAGAGAUCAGCGGGUCCAACCCCAAGUGGUGUCACCUACUUAGUGUGAGGUGCCCAGCGGUGCUGUGCUGCUUCCCGGAGCUGGCAAAAGAGUACACCACUUGUCUCACCAACCCUCUCCAGGAAGAAAAAGGAAAAGGCCCAAAGACCAGCUCGUGGAAACUUUCUGGAAGAAGCAGUUUUUGUUCACGUCGGUCGAUGAAGCUGAUUUCAACACUCGGCGCUUGGCUCCCGCAGCGAAUGCCAGCCCGACACCGAAGUGCACAGCCACCGCACCGAGCCUUACGAUUUAUCUCAGGGUCAAGUUAAUGUUUGAAAAGAAACAAAUGCAGCUGAUAGCACACACGAGCUGUUUUGAAUGAUGUGAAGUAUAUUCAAGGAAACCACAGUGUUAGCAACGCAGCCGAGAAACCAUCGUGUUAAGGCACUGCCAGUCUUACAGAAGAACACGCUACCGCGGCUCCUCUAAUCCCAUCUAUUAAUUCUGUACUCUCUGACCAAGCAAUAAUAAAAUUGCAUUUAUUAACUCCA